AGGGUGGCCUUGUGCCCUAGGGUGGGCAAGGGAAGAGGGCCACCUUCGCCGAGGGCAAAGCUAUGGAGAAGGUCCUGGGAGAGAGUCCUCAGCUGAGCACUCACAGCAGCAGGUGGCGGGUGCCCUUGUUGGGAGGAGAAUCGAGGCCAGGCACCAGGAGCAUCUCCCGCAGUGCCUGGCUGUGGAUCUCCCAUCGCUGAGGCCGGGGUAGUUUCCACCAUCUAAAAAAAGAAAGAAAGUGAAAUAGUCUGCCAGAAUACCUCCCAGCUGCUCCCUUCAGAGUCAACAUCCGCCAUGUGCUGGUUAACUGACUCUGCGAGGGAAGGGGGAGAAAGCCCUGAUGUCGCAUUUGCCAAUUUCUCUGCUGAAAAUACUCCCUACCGUGGCCAGCUAGCUGCGAAAUUUCUGAAUAUUUAAAAGUCAGCUGACAGGAAUCCACACAGCACACCAGUGAACAACGCCCCCUUCAUGGCCAUCUUAGGGAUGUUAUAGUUUGAGGUCCCACCAUAGCCCCCAGCUAAGGAAAAUAAAGACUAGCACCUCCUCAACAAAUGUGGGUAGAACUGUUUUCUAGAAGAAAUCUGAAAUCAUCCACCAAAAUCUGGAUGAGAGUGAAUAUUUGUGACUAAUACUUCAUAAUCCCCGUGAGGAAACCGGCCCAUCGUAUGAGAGUCUAUCCCCGGUCUGUGCCGACCUCGGCACGCUGCUGAGAGGGCAGGCACCGUGCCUCCUAGUGCUCCUUUGCCCUCGGUGCAGUGAGAAAGUGCUCGAUUCUCAGGGAGGCUCCCUGAUCCUGAAAGAUACUUAGCUGCCCUUAGGGAGGCAGUUGACCAGGUUAAGAGCCACGCCCUUGCAAAAGUUAGGUCAAAGCUAGAGGUGAACCUGACCCAGAUAAGGCACCAGGACCGAAUCCCCUGCAUUAGGCAGAUGCAACAGCUUUCGUCUAGACUGAGCUGGACGGCAAGCGCUUGUGGAGACAUACCUGGCCCCAGCUCAGGCCUCAGCCACAGGGUGGGACCUGCCCUGGGUUAACUGGGAAUGGCGAAGCCAGGCCAGACAUGAGGCUAUGCAGAAAAAGAGAGAGAAGACGUGUAUGUCCCACCUCACCCACCCCAACAAAACUAAACACAUCCUAUCGCAGCCAAAGGGGCAGAAAAAAGACAAAAGCACCAGGUCUGAGGGAAGAGGUCAGCAAACCACUCAAGACAAGAUGGCCCGGCCCUGCUAGAGAAUGGCUCUGUGCUCCAGCUCCUCC
rnacentral:lncRNA from 1 species